ACACGUAGGGGGCGAGCGUUAUCCGGAAUUACUGGGCGUAAAGAGUGCGUAGGUGGCUUUGCAAGCGUAGGGUAUAAGGCGACAGCCCAACUGUCGUUGGCCCCGCGAACUGUAAGGCUUGAGUACAGGAGGGGAAGGCGGAAUUCCUAGUGUAGCGGUGAAAUGCGUAGAUAUUAGGAGGAACACCAGUGGCGAAGGCGGCCUUCUGGACGGUAACUGACACUGAGGCACGAAAGCGUGGGUAGCAAACAGGAUUAGAUACCCUGGUAGUCCACGCCGUAAACGAUGAGCACUAGGUGUCGGGCUCGCAAGAGUUCGGUGCCGGAGCAAACGCAUUAAGUGCUCCGCCUGGGGAGUACGCACGCAAGUGUGAAACUCAAAGGAAUUGACGGGG
rnacentral:rRNA from 1 species